AUUCCAUGAUUUGGACAUUUUCCAAGUAUAUCUUUAAACCUCUCCCAAGCCUCAUGAAAUCUCUCCAAUUUGGAUUGCUAAAUGGUAGUUAUGUCAUGUUUGAGUUU
rnacentral:snoRNA from 1 species